CUGGAUGCUGACGAGCGGCGGACGGGUGAGUAAUGCAUAGGAAUCUGCCCGAUAGUGGGGGAUAACCUGGGGAAACCCAGGCUAAUACCGCAUACGUCCUACGGGAGAAAGGGGGCUCCGGCUCCCGCUAUGGGAUGAGCCUAUGUCGGAUUAGCUAGUUGGUGAGGUAACGGCUCACCAAGGCCACGAUCCGUAGCUGGUCUGAGAGGAUGAUCAGCCACAUCGGGACUGAGACACGGCCCGAACUCCUACGGGAGGCAGCAGUGGGGAAUAUUGGACAAUGGGCGAAAGCCUGAUCCAGCCAUGCCGCGUGUGUGAAGAAGGCCCUCGGGUUGUAAAGCACUUUCAGCGAGGAAGAACGCCUAGCGGUUAAUACCCGCUAGGAAAGACAUCACUCGCAGAAGAAGCACCGGCUAACUCCGUGCCAGCAGCCGCGGUAAUACGGAGGGUGCAAGCGUUAAUCGGAAUUACUGGGCGUAAAGCGCGCGUAGGUGGCUUGAUAAGCCGGUUGUGAAAGCCCCGGGCUCAACCUGGGAACGGCAUCCGGAACUGUCAAGCUAGAGUGCAGGAGAGGAAGGUAGAAUUCCCGGUGUAGCGGU
rnacentral:rRNA from 1 species